rnacentral:rRNA from 1 species
UGAACGCUGGCGGCGUGCCUAAUACAUGCACGUAGAACGCUGAAGGAGGAGCUUGCUCUUCUGGAUGAGUUGCGAACGGGUGAGUAACGCGUAGGUAACCUGCCUGGUAGCGGGGGAUAACUAUUGGAAACGAUAGCUAAUACCGCAUGACAACAGUUAUUGCAUGAUAACUGUUUAAAAGGGGCAACUGCUCCACUACCAGAUGGACCUGCGUUGUAUUAGCUAGUUGGUGAGGUAACGGCUCACCAAGGCGACGAUACAUAGCCGACCUGAGAGGGUGAACGGCCACACUGGGACUGAGACACGGCCCAGACUCCUACGGGAGGCAGCAGUAGGGAAUCUUCGGCAAUGGACGGAAGUCUGACCGAGCAACGCCGCGUGAGUGAAGAAGGUUUUCGGAUCGUAAAGCUCUGUUGUAAGAGAAGAACGAGUGUGAGAGUGGAAAGUUCACACUGUGACGGUAUCUUACCAGAAAGGGACGGCUAACUACGUG